UACGGAGGGUGCAAGCGUUAUCCGGAUUCACUGGGUUUAAAGGGUGCGUAGGCGGCUAUAUAAGUCAGUGGUGAAAGCCCGCAGCUCAACUGCGGAACUGCCAUUGAAACUGCAUAGCUUGAAUCUGGUUGAAGUGGGCGGAAUACAUCAUGUAGCGGUGAAAUGCUUAGAUAUGACAUAGAACACCCAUUGCGAAGGCAGCUUGCUACACAAUGAUUGACGCUGAGGCACGAAAGCGUGGGGAUCAAACAGG
rnacentral:rRNA from 1 species